rnacentral:rRNA from 1 species
GAAGGAUCAUUACCGAGUGAGGGCCCUCUGGGUCCAACCUCCCACCCGUGUUUAUUUUACCUUGUUGCUUCGGCGGGCCCGCCUUAACUGGCCGCCGGGGGGCUUACGCCCCCGGGCCCGCGCCCGCCGAAGACACCCUCGAACUCUGUCUGAAGAUUGUAGUCUGAGUGAAAAUAUAAAUUAUUUAAAACUUUCAACAACGGAUCUCUUGGUUCCGGCAUCGAUGAAGAACGCAGCGAAAUGCGAUACGUAAUGUGAAUUGCAAAUUCAGUGAAUCAUCGAGUCUUUGAACGCACAUUGCGCCCCCUGGUAUUCCGGGGGGCAUGCCUGUCCGAGCGUCAUUUCUGCCCUCAAGCACGGCUUGUGUGUUGGGCCCCGUCCUCCGAUCCCGGGGGACGGGCCCGAAAGGCAGCGGCGGCACCGCGUCCGGUCCUCGAGCGUAUGGGGCUUUGUCACCCGCUCUGUAGGCCCGGCCGGCGCUUGCCGAUCAACCCAAAUUUUUAUCCAGGUUGACCUCGGAUCAGGUAGGGAUACCCGCUGAACUUAA